rnacentral:rRNA from 1 species
UGCCAGACUCCUACGGGAGGCAGCAGUGAGGAAUAUUGGUCAAUGGCCGAGAGGCUGAACCAGCCAAGUCGCGUGAGGGAUGACGGCUCUACGGGUUGUAAACCUCUUUUGUCGGGGAGCAAAGAGAGUCACGUGUGGCUCAUUGAGAGUACCCGAAGAAAAAGCAUCGGCUAACUCCGUGCCAGCAGCCGCGGUAAUACGGAGGAUGCGAGCGUUAUCCGGAUUUAUUGGGUUUAAAGGGUGCGUAGGCGGACAGUCAAGUCAGCGGUAAAAAUGCGGUGCUCAACGCCGUACAGCCGUUGAAACUGGCAGUCUUGAGUGGGCGAGAAGUAUGCGGAAUGCGUGGUGUAGCGGUGAAAUGCAUAGAUAUCACGCAGAACUCCGAUUGCGAAGGCAGCAUACCGGCGCCCGACUGACGCUGAGGCACGAAAGCGUGGGUAUCGAACAGGAUUAGAUACCCCCGUA